UUUGAACUUUUAUAGUUCUCAAUAAUCAGAUCGAUAAUUCAAAAAUGACAUCAUGGCCAAGAGGACCAGAAGAUCUUUCUAAGAUUUAAAUUUACUAUGUGUGGUAAUUAUUCAGUAAUUGGGGUUUAGGUUAGCCAGACCAUCACCGCCUCCUAGAUCAGACCCAAGAUCCGUCAGGUCCACCCUCUCCUUCCCCCCAGCUGUUUCCAGGAAGUCCACAAGCCAGGCAUGAAGGAAACAGCUCUCUACUCUUUGGCCCUAGCAAAAAGUGUUCCAGGUACACUGCCUCUGAACCUGGAGGCUCUUUAACUGCUAUGGGGCAGAGCCAAUGAAAGGGAACUGGACUUGCCUUUCAAAGAUGAACCGCAGGCCGAUGAGGAGAAGGGCACCGGGGAGGCUGACCAGGAGGUGCUGGGGCUGAGGGUAGCGGGUCUCCUCCGUCUCUUUCAUGUCCUCCCAGGUGAUCCCUGGAGGCAGCCAGUAUUCAUGCUGCCAAAGCCAAGCAGUCAACGGCAGUGUCAUCCUAGGGAGAAAAGAGAAGGCGGUGAGAUAAGGAAGCCUCUCCGGCAAAUGGACACGGAGAAAUGAAAGCUGGAAGUUUAGGGAUGAGCUUUUAAGGAACACAGAUGGAUCCAAGGCAUUGGCGCGUUUCCAGGAGCUUACACAACAGUCCCGAAGUGCCAAAACUGACAUCAAAAGGCAGCAAUGGUGGCUUCAGCAGGACCUGGAAAUGCUGAGAAGGUUCUCCUGUGAAUUUUCAGCCUUUCCCCUCUAGAAUGUACCACGGACAGACCUGCAUAACAUCGUAGGAUCAUUUUGUUGGAAAGUUAAAGGACUUUGCGCUGUCUCUUUGCCUCAGACAGUGGAGGACAGACUAGUAAGUCAGAGGGCUAGAGGGUCAAGACAUUGGUCAUCCCUUCUCCACUGCUCUGAUGCUAUCCCUUUGAAAUGUAGGUUGCUAAUCUCAGGGACUCAACUUCCUCCUUCUUCCUCUCUCUCUUGCUAUCUGCCCGCCUACCUUGCAACAUGGCAAGUUCCUCUCCCUGCACCAAAUGUGCAGAGAGGAUGCAGAAUCCAUCUGCAUCUAGAUAGAUAGAUAGAUUAGAGAUCCUAAAUCCUCACUUUCCUAUCUAGAAUGGAGUUCCUUAAUAAAUGCCUUUUAUAUUGAUUUGAAACUAUGAA